GCCUUCGUGGUGUAAUGGUCAGCACACUGAGCCGGUAUUUCAGAGGUCCGCGGUUCGAUUCCCAGCGAAGGCG
rnacentral:tRNA from 1 species